UAUUUAGGAUAAAAAUAGGAUAUGUUAAACGUUAGACUCAGAAUUAGGAUUUAAUCUAAAAGUUAGGAACUAAAACAGUACUUUAAAGAAAAAAAAAAAACAGAGAAUAUUACUUAGUGGAUUUUAAUAUGAUCUAUAUGAUUUCUUCCCUUAUUCUUUGCUUGUAAGGUUACAAUUCACUCUAACAUACUGAAAAAGUGGAAUGACAUAUUCCAAGAUGCAGUAUGCUACACAUUUUUCACUCUAGAUGUGUAAUUAAUACUCAAGUUAUUGAAUUACAAGUUUUCUACCACCCCACUCAACUUUUGAUUCACAAAUACAACAUUGAAACUGCAGAAGAAAUAAAACAGCAGUUGAAAUUUAAGACCUGCAGAAGCUGGUAAUAUAAACACAUCUCUUAUAGGAGAUAUCAAUCACAUAAAAGUAAGAUCAAUAAGAUUGCCUUUGAAUUCUAUCUCUAUGACAAGAAUACAGAUAUAGAAAACACCAAGACUUGUAUUUUUCGGUCUCUGGGAAGGAAAGAAAAAUUUGUUUCUCUAUCAGUAUCUCUACAACAAAAAAAUUCUGUAUCUACUUAGUAUUUACUUUUAGAGACUAGAAUUGAGACUGAAGAACUAGGACUCAGUAUUGUGUUUGGUGGUUAUAAACUGGAACUAAAAUUUCAGUUCCAAGAUACAAAAUUUUAGUUUCUUCAGUACUUCCAAAAGGUGGAGACAGAAGGGACUGAAAUUUCUAGGAUUAGAGAUUGAAAUUUUAACAUUUCUUUUCAAAAAUACUCUCAUGAAACUUUUUAAAUCCUAAAUCUACUCCUCAAUCUUCACAUUUAUCUUAAACCAAAUACGAUACUUAGACAUAACUCAGUCUAGUACAUUUUACACCAAACACAAUACAGAGACUUAAUUUAGUCUCUAUCUCUCAAUCUCUAUUUCCCCGUCUUUGUCUCUCAAUCUCAGUCUCCUUUCUAAACAUAGCCUAAGAGAUCAAAUUUAUAUAUUGUGUGUUGAGUGAUAUGUACAGACAUGUUUCAGAAAAUAACCACAUACUAAGAUAAAAUUUGGUUUUCCUUAUGGAUCAAACUACUCUAAUCUUUCUGAAUCCGCUAGAUCGAGAAAAUAACCCCACGGCAUUUGAUGUAUACACCAAAAAGAGCCAACAAGAGAUUGUUUUCAAUACCAACCAUAUGAAGAAAUAGACUUUUCAUUGCACUCAAAUUCUGGUAUUAGUAGCUGUCUUCU